GAUGAAGAACGCAGCGAAAUGCGAUAAGUAAUGUGAAUUGCAGAAUUCAGUGAAUCAUCGAAUCUUUGAACGCACAUUGCGCCCCCCAGUAUUCUGGCGGGCAUGCCUGUUCGAGCGUCAUUUCAACCAUCAAGCCCUGCUUGUGUUGGGGUCCUGCGGCUGCCCGCAGGCCCUGAAAACCAGUGGCGGGCUCACUAGUCACACCGAGCGCAGUAGCACAUCUCGCUCAGGGCGUGCGGCGGGCUCCAGCCGUUAAAGCACCCACCUUUCGCAAGGUUGACCUCGGAUCAGGUAGGAAUACCCGCUGAACUUAAGCAUAUCAAUAAGCGGAGGA
rnacentral:misc_RNA from 1 species